GACCUGGCUGGACGGUCCGCCCUUCGGGUGAGUACUGUCUGUGGUCGGGUCCUACCUUCUGGCGAAGCGUCAUGGCCUUAACCGGCCGUGGCGGGGAACCAGGACUUUUACUUGUGAAAAAUUAAGAGUGUUCAAAGACAGGCAAAUACGCUUGGAUACAUUAGCAUGGAAUAAUGGAAUAGGACAAUGGUUCUAUUUGUUGGUUUCUAGGACCGUUGUAAUGAUUAAUAGGGAUAGUUGGG
rnacentral:rRNA from 1 species